GCCCUUGUAGCUUAGGGGUAGAGCGUUGCACUUGUAAUGCAAAGGUCGGCGGUUCAAUUCCGCCCGGGGGCA
rnacentral:tRNA from 1 species